rnacentral:rRNA from 1 species
AUGCGAUAAGUAAUGUGAAUUGCAGAAUUCAGUGAAUCAUCGAAUCUUUGAACGCACAUUGCGCCCGCCAGUAUUCUGGCGGGCAUGCCUGUUCGAGCGUCAUUU